AACGAACGCUGGCGGCAUGCCUAACACAUGCAAGUCGAACGAGACCUUCGGGUCUAGUGGCGCACGGGUGCGUAACGCGUGGGAACCUGCCCUUAGGUUCGGAAUAACUCCCCGAAAGGGGUGCUAAUACCGGAUAAUGUCUUCGGACCAAAGAUUCAUCGCCUUUGGAUGGGCCCGCGUUGGAUUAGCUAGUUGGUAGGGUAAAAGCCUACCAAGGCGACGAUCCAUAGCUGGUCUGAGAGGAUGAUCAGCCACACUGGGACUGAGACACGGCCCAGACUCCUACGGGAGGCAGCAGUGGGGAAUAUUGGACAAUGGGCGAAGGCCUGAUCCAGCAAUGCCGCGUGAGUGAUGAAGGCCUUAGGGUUGUAAAGCUCUUUUACCCGGGAUGAUAAUGACAGUACCGGGAGAAUAAGCUCCGGCUAACUCCGUG
rnacentral:rRNA from 1 species